rnacentral:rRNA from 1 species
CAGUCGCCGCGGUAAUACGUAGGGUGCAAGCGUUAAUCGGAAUUACUGGGCGUAAAGCGUGCGCAGGCGGCUUCUUAAGUCGGAUGUGAAAUCCCUGAGCUUAACUUAGGAAUUGCAUUCGAUACUGGGAAGCUAGAGUAUGGGAGAGGAUGGUAGAAUUCCAGGUGUAGCGGUGAAAUGCGUAGAGAUCUGGAGGAAUACCGAUGGCGAAGGCAGCCAUCUGGCCUAAUACUGACGCUGAGGUACGAAAGCAUGGGGAGCAAACAGGAUUAGAUACCCGCGUAGUCCCUGUCUCUUAUAC